GGAAGAUGGAGACAGAGGAGGAAGAUUCUGAUCCAGGUGGUCUAGGUCAAUUUUAUCUUGUCUAGUUUUGAUCUUACCAGGCUGCAGAGGAUGUGAACAAAGCCAAGCACGAGGCCCCGGAGGAGCCAUGCGGGAGUGGGAACGCACAGGAACCGCUUCCGCUGCUUUUUAAAUCUUACCUCAACAGGAAACUAUUUGUCACUCA
rnacentral:lncRNA from 1 species